rnacentral:rRNA from 1 species
GGAAAUUGGUUAAUAUUCCAAUACUUCUAUGUAAUGCGAUGAGAGGACGGAGAAGGUUAAGUCAGCCUGGCGUUGGUUGUCCAGGUGGAAGGUUGUAGGCAUGUAUCUUAGGCAAAUCCGGGGUACUGUAUGCUGAGAACUGAUAGCAAGCUGUACUUGUACAGUGAAGUGGCUGAUACCAUGCUUCCAGGAAAAGUCUCUAAGCUUCAGUUACACAGGAAUCGUACCCGAAACCGACACAGGUGGUCAGGUCGAGUAGACCAA